AACAGCUGUCACGGAUGCAAAGAGCUAUUGGAGAAACAAUUAUUUUAAUAAAAAUAUAAAUCUUUCUAAGAUCUAGUCAAAUAUUUAUAGUUUUUCCCUUGCUUUCCAUCACGAUAUAAUUAACGAGACGUUUUUUCAAACACAACCAAAUCACCCACCAUGACAGCAUUUUGUCCAAUCACAGAAAGGAUUUUCGAGCAUGCGUAUUCUGUUGCCAUAGUUAAGCGUCAUUAAGUUCAAAGGGCACAAACCGAAACUAUACCGACUACGUCGGAAAAAAAUAUU
rnacentral:lncRNA from 1 species